rnacentral:rRNA from 1 species
UACGUAGGCAGCGAGCGUUGUUCGGAGUUACUGGGCGUAAAGCGUGCGUAGGCGGUAGUCCAAGUCUGGUGUGAAAUCUCCCGGCUUAACUGGGAGGGUGCGCCGGAAACUGGGCUGCUGGAGUGCGGGAGAGGCGCGUGGAAUUCCAGGUGUAGCGGUGAAAUGCGUAGAUAUCUGGAGGAACACCGGUGGCGAAGGCGACAUCCUGGACCGACAUUGACGCUGAGGAGCGAAAGCCAGGGGAGCAAACGGG